rnacentral:rRNA from 1 species
GUAACCUGCCCUUGACUCUGGGAUAAGCACUGGAAACGGUGUCUAAUACCGGAUACGAGCCUCCUCCGCAUGGUGAGGGGCUGGAAAGAACUUCGGUCAAGGAUGGACUCGCGGCCUAUCAGCUAGUUGGUGAGGUAACGGCCCACCAAGGCGACGACGGGUAGCCGGCCUGAGAGGGUGACCGGCCACACUGGGACUGAGACACGGCCCAGACUCCUACGGGAGGCAGCAGUGGGGAAUAUUGCACAAUGGGCGCAAGCCUGAUGCAGCAACGCCGCGUGAGGGACGACGGCCUUCGGGUUGUAAACCUCUUUUAGUAGGGAAGAAGCGAAAGUGACGGUACCUGCAGAAAAAGCACCGGCUAACUACGUGCCAGCAGCCGCGGUAAUACGUAGGGUGCAAGCGUUGUCCGGAAUUAUUGGGCGUAAAGAGCUCGUAGGCGGUUUGUCGCGUCUGCUGUGAAAACCCGAGGCUCAACCUCGGGCCUGCAGUGGGUACGGGCAGACUAGAGUGCGGUAGGGGAGAUUGGAAUUCCUGGUGUAGCGGUGGAAUGCGCAGAUAUCAGGAGGAACACCGAUGGCGAAGGCAGAUCUCUGGGCCGUAACUGACGCUGA